GCUUCGAAGCCUCGGCACAUGUCGUAACAUCACUAGUCGGCACGUCUGGUAGCGUCUCUGGCUGCUGUUGACCUUGUUUUUGGAGUAAAACACGGUGGAAGCUGAAUUAGUGAGGAUGACUCCUGCUCCUGUCAUCUCUAAGCUCCUCACACAUCUUUACCUGCACAUGAGGAAAAUCACUCCUGUAGAAUGCAGAUGUUCAGAGGGAGAUGAUGCCACAUCUGGUCCAGCUGAUGGAAGGUCUUGAAGUUCUCUGACUGGCCUCGACUGAAGAUGGUCGUCUCACUGGAUUUAAGAUGCACAAUGAGGGACGUCUGCAGAGACUGAGAAAGAGUCUCACCACAUCCUGACAUGAGGAAAAAGACUUUAUUGAAGACUGCAAUGAGAAAAACUAUCAGACAGCAGACGGCUGCAUUCAAGGCUACAGGAGGAGCCCUACGAGGACGAGCUGGUCCACCUGAUGGAGGCCAGUCGCUGCGGUUCAAAGCCAACACCGACUACGUGGACUUCUACUGGACCACACGGAGGCCUUCAAAAUGGACCAACAAGUUCAGCGACUCCCCGACUCGUGGGUCUGAGGACGCCGCCGAGCCUCGGUCCAGCCGGCCUCCUGUCUGUGGGUGUUUGAGUGCUGAGAGGUUUAUGGAUCCAUGUGAACGUUCUGUGUUGAAACAGCAGCUUUGGACUCAGUAACGCCGGGAAAAACCAAGAGCUCCUUUAUUUGUGACUUCCACUAAAAAAA
ensembl:lncRNA